GGGGAUUUAGCUCAGUGGGAGAGCACUUGCCUAGCAAGCGCAAGGCCCUGGGUUCAGUCCCCA
rnacentral:tRNA from 1 species